GACGAACGCUGGCGGCGUGCUUAACACAUGCAAGUCGAACGGAAAGGCCCUGCUUUGGGGGGGUGCUCGGGUGGCGAACGGGUAAGUAACACGUGAGUAACCUGCCCUUUACUUUGGGAUAACUUAAGGAAACUGGGGUUAAUACCGGAUAGUCGCUCCGCCUGGAUGGGGGGGGUUGGAACGUUUGGGUGUGUGGGGAUGGACUCGCGGCUUAUUAGUUUGUUGGUGGGGUGGUGGCUAACCAAGGCUGUGACGGGUGGCCGGCCUGAGAGGGGGACCGGCCACAGGGGGACUGAGACAGGGCCCAGACUCCUACGGGGGGCAGGUGUGGGGAAUAUUGCACAAGGGGCGAAAGCCUGAUGCAGCAGCGCCGCGUGGGGGAUGACGGCCUUCGGGGUGUAACCCGUUUUCGACGGUGACGAAGCGUGGGGGACGGUAAUGGGUAAAGAAGCACCGGCUAACUACGU
rnacentral:rRNA from 1 species